GUCGAGCGAACAGACGAGGUAGCUUGCUCCUCUGACGUUAGCGGCGGUNGGGUGAGUAACACGUGGAUAACCUACCUAUAAGACUGGGAUAACUUCGGGAAACCGGAGCUAAUACCGGAUAAUAUAUUGAACCGCAUGGUUCAAUAGUGAAAGACGGUUUUGCUGUCACUUAUAGAUGGAUCCGCGCCGCAUUAGCUAGUUGGUAAGGUAACGGCUUACCAAGGCAACGAUGCGUAGCCGACCUGAGAGGGUGAUCGGCCACACUGGAACUGAGACACGGUCCAGACUCCUACGGGAGGCAGCAGUAGGGAAUCUUCCGCAAUGGGCGAAAGCCUGACGGAGCAACGCCGCGUGAGUGAUGAAGGUCUUCGGAUCGUAAAACUCUGUUAUUAGGGAAGAACAAAUGUGUAAGUAACUAUGCACGUCUUGACGGUACCUAAUCAGAAAGCCACGGCUAACUACGUGCCAGCAGCCGCGGUAAUACGUAGGUGGCAAGCGUUAUCCGGAAUUAUUGGGCGUAAAGCGCGCGUAGGCGGUUUUUUAAGUCUGAUGUGAAAGCCCACGGCUCAACCGUGGAGGGUCAUUGGAAACUGGAAAACU
rnacentral:rRNA from 1 species